rnacentral:rRNA from 1 species
CAGCCGCCGCGGUAAUACGUAGGGGGCGAGCGUUGUCCGGAAUUAUUGGGCGUAAAGCGCGCGCAGGCGGUCCUUUAAGUCUGAUGUGAAAGCCCACGGCUCAACCGUGGAGGGUCAUUGGAAACUGGGGGGCUUGAGUGCAGGAGAGGAGAGCGGAAUUCCACGUGUAGCGGUGAAAUGCGUAGAGAUGUGGAGGAACACCAGUGGCGAAGGCGGCUCUCUGGCCUGUAACUGACGCUGAGGCGCGAAAGCGUGGGGAGCAAACAGGAUUAGAUACCCUGGUAGUCCACGCCGUAAACGAUGAGUGCUAAGUGUUAGAGGGGUCACACCCUUUAGUGCUGUAGCUAACGCGAUAAGCACUCCGCCUGGGGAGUACGGCCGCAAGGCUGAAACUUAAAGGAAUUGGCGGG